AUGAAGAACUUGAGCCUUUUCACCCUUGAAAUGGCUCUCUACUAUUUUUAACAUAUUCAGCAGCUCAGGCAAGCUGAUGUUUAGUUUGUUCCUAUGAUAAUUAAUGACAAACUGAGAAAAGAAGUCAGAGAGAGUCUGCAGAAUCAAAUUCUGGCUCAAUUCACCAUCCAUUGCAAAACCUAGCAGUCCCAGAUAAGUGAUCAAAUCAAUCAUCUUUAGAACAUGCAUUUGUAUGGAAGAGCGUUCAAUCAUACGGCACGG
rnacentral:lncRNA from 1 species